GACGAACGCUGGCGGCGUGCUUAACACAUGCAAGUCGAACGCUGAAGCUUGGUGCUUGCACUGGGUGGAUGAGUGGCGAACGGGUGAGUAAUACGUGAGUAACCUGCCCUUGACUCUGGGAUAAGCCUGGGAAACUGGGUCUAAUACUGGAUACGACAUGUCACCGCAUGGUGGUGUGUGGAAAGGGUUUUACUGGUUUUGGAUGGGCUCACGGCCUAUCAGCUUGUUGGUGGGGUAAUGGCUCACCAAGGCGACGACGGGUAGCCGGCCUGAGGGUGACCGGCCACACUGGGACUGAGACACGGCCAGACUCCUACGGGAGGCAGCAGUGGGGAAUAUUGCACAAUGGGCGGAAGCCUGAUGCAGCGACGCCGCGUGAGGGAUGACGGCCUUCGGGUUGUAAACCUCUUUCAGCACGGAAGAAGCGAAAGUGACGGUACGUGCAGAAGAAGCGCCGGCUAACUACGUG
rnacentral:rRNA from 1 species